ACUAGCGACAGUUUCUUCAGAAGCUGAUGACAUUCUCGGUAGUUGCUGCAACCUGAGUGUCGCUGAUAGUAGCGAUAAUAGAGCACUGAACCCAAAAUUCAACUGACCAUGUUCAACUGUCAAGGUGCAAUGCUGAUAUAUUUGCAGGUGCUUCUGUGUCAUUAAGCAGAAAUGACUAGACCACUGUAACCUGGGAUACUCAGAAAGUAGAAACUAAGAGUUAAACACUGAUAAAGGAACAGUUGAGAACAUACAUGAAUGUUCCUGAAUAAUAGACCUGGAGAUACUAGAAAGUUCAGAAUUAGGGUAUAUGCAAACAGAGAGAAUUACUUUGUCUCCUACAGGCUUGUCUUGUGUCAGACUUCCUGUUCUGUUUCAUUCUUGUUUAGUUCAUCUCCAUUUUGGUAAUCCUGAAAGUAGAUUUUGCACAGUAAUUAGUACUGAUUAAAAGGUUAGGUCUUGAUUGCCAUGCUUAGGGUACUAGAUAGGUAUGGCUUUAUUUUCAGUGGUGCUUUGAAAUGUCAGCUUUGCCCAUUAAAAUAUGGUUUAAAUAUGUUUUUGAAGGAGAAAAUUUGUAAUUUAAGCAAGUGGCUUUAGACUAGAAUUUGUUGGGCAUCUACUCCUUGAAAUAUCUUCCAUAAUCCUGUGUUUGGUAUGAAAAUGUAUAGCAGAGUGGCACAUUGAGGACUGGGCCUCUUGGGGUGUGAAUCCCAAGCUAUCAUCCUGUUGAGCACUGAGCCAUCAGUAAUCUGAGAACAGGGAAUGCUGAAGAGAAGAAACAGCUUUAGCUCAGCAUACAGCUGUCACCAUGACUUCUUUGAUAUCAUGUUUUUACAUUUUGAAAAUUGCUUUUAUCUGACAUGUUUACAAUUUGCAUGUAUGAAAACAUCUGACAUUCCAUCUAGCAGAGGGGAGUAAUAAAAACAGAUAUUAAUUAGUCAUAAUACUGAAGGCUGUUACUCACUGAGCAGUGCAGCUCACUUGUGGUUUAACUGGGCAGGCAGCUAAACACCACACAGCCAUUUGUUCUUUCCCCCUAGCCAACUCCAUCUGGGCCAGCUUUCACCCUAGUUUAAAUAUGAGCAUGCUGUCACACGAUAUGGAAUAACUCUUUGGUCAAUUGGAGUCAGCUGUCCUGGCUGUGUUCCCUCACAACUUCUUGUGUUCCCCAGCCUCCUUGCAAAUGGGACAACAUCAGCCAAAGAGUCCUUGUCUUAGUAUAAACACUGCUUAACAAAAACUAAACCCUCAGUAUUUUACCCAAUAUUAUUCUCAUCCUAAAUCCAAAACAGAGCAGUGUAUGAGCUACCAGGAAGAAAAUGAACUCUAUCCCAGCUGAAAGAAGGACGUCACUUUACACGUCUCAUAUUUCAUAUAUACUAAUAAUUUAUUUAGAAACCCAAAAGGUAUUCAUUCAGAACUUAUGUUUCAGAAAGCUCUGUGAGAAGGUGCUCUAUGCUUUUAUACUUUUAGAAACAUUAAUGUCUGGUUAUAAACUUCAGUUCCUUAUGUCCCUUUUAUGCAGGGAGAACUGUACUAUGCCCAAAGGAAUCAUAGAAUAUCUUGAGUUUGAAGAAACCUACAAGGAUCACUGAAGUCCAACUCUCAUUAACUGUGUCAUUGCACUUUGCUACAUCUUUCACCAGCUUAUGUUAAUCUAUUUAAUAUUUUUUUGCACAGCAAAAAAUUUUGAGGUACUCCCUUAUAGUAAGUGGUACAAUAUGCAAGGUAUGGUCUGCCACUGUUGGUCUCCUGAAAGCCUUUUCUGUGAUUAAUUAAACAUUAUAUCAUAUCUCAGCAGAGUUAAUCUGUUUCACAAUCAGCAGUGUUUCCAUUUAUCAUUUAUCUACUCUUUACCAUGGUGUUUCAGGUCCUAGGACAUUCUUCAAUUCUUUGUUAACAUUAGUAAAGAGUAUACAGAGCAUUAAUUUAGCCAAAAUCUCUCCUGCAUGCACGUUUCAAACUGGGAAUGCCCCAGAGUAUGUUGCAAGUUUUCUGUUCCUACCCCCUCCACCUUUUAGAAAAUUCCUUUUAGAGAACAACCAUUUACCUGGAAUUUUAAAUAUAUAUAAAGACUUUCAAGGCUUUUUUUCUGGCUACAAGAUUAAAUUUAUUUAAAAACUAAUAUUGUUCUAGGACAAUGUUCUGAAACUGUUUGGGAAUGGGGAAUAAUACUUUCUUUUUCUCCAACUAAUUUGAACCCUGAGCUUUGAAAUGUAAAUCUGAAUUUAUAUUUUAGAUUGUAAAGCAAAUUUAGGCCUCUUACAGUUUUUAUUGCAUUUAGGAACUCUUUCAUGAUGAGCCAGCAUAAUGAUUGUAUUUGGAUGUAGAAGCACCGCAUAGACAAAACUGGGCUCUGAGGCAAGGAAUUAAAUGUUUUAAUCUGUUCAAUAGGGCUUGAUGGUGAUUUCCUGUCAUCUUCAAAGUCUGGCAGCUGGAUAUGGCCUUCAAGCCCUCAGAGAGGAGUUGUACCACAUAUGAGAGUAUCCAUUUCUGUAGAUAGUUUUGGAUACUGCUUUCAUACAUAGGAUAUGAAGGAUCACAGGAACAGCUUUAUAAAGGCAUUUCUCUUUUAUUUUCACCUCAGAUAUAAAUACGUACAAGAAUUUUAUGAAAGUACUAUAUCUGUGAUACAAAUCGUCUCUGAAAAGUGUUUCAAGGAUCUGUUAUAGCCUAUGUUAUCCUGGAAUUUUUGUUGAGUAUUUCAUCACAUCUCAUCUCUCUGGAACAAAGACUUGUGUUUUCAACCUUUAACAGUAACAGUAAAGCAACCAGUAAACAAAGAAAAACAGAAAAGGAAGAAAUGUUUUGAUGAAAUAAGAGUUCUAGAAGAGUUGUUGAAUUUGUUUUUAAAUAAUAUUUGUUGUUCUGUGAGAAUGGAAGUUUUCUGCACUUCUUUUACCAGAUUCCUCUUAUUGCUCAAACUCUGCACUGAUUUUCCUGAUAUUGCCUGGGAGGUCAAUUGGAGUGAGGUGAUCAAAGAUGCAUGAUUACUUAUUAUUCACCUUGGCUGUUAGGUUACAAACGCUGAAUAUUGAUACUUUCUAGAAAUCUUCUAUUCCCAGGUUUCUCUAUCUUUCCAAUGGACUUUUGGGUCCUAAGACUUCUUCCACUGCUAUUAAUGAAUCUAUAGAACUGGUUCUCAGAUGUUUAGCAAGCUGCAUUCUACCACUUAGUCCAGGUACAUCUUGGGGGUAAUGACAGUCCAGACUUACUGUCAUGAAAUAAAUUGGCAUAAUAACAUAAAAGAGUAAAGGUUCAUAAUAUCUCACUAUAAAGUUAAACACAUUUUAUUAUUAUAGUUAUGGUACAGAUUAACUAAUAUUUGGCAUAAAUGUCCCUCUAAAGCCAUUAGCAAAUUGCAUGCUAACUGCCAUUAACUAGUGGUAUGCUUCAACCUUUCCUCUCUGAUCAGAUAUAAAUCUGCAAUUUUACAUCUAUAUCAAUAUUUGUUUCUGUCUACAUUUCUAUUAUUUUAAUCAUUACCUUGCACAUUUUUCCAUUUACUCAUUUUGCACAUGGGUAUGUUAAAAAACUACCAACCAUUCAUCUUCUUAAAGAACUCAUCAUUAUACUGACUGAAAUAUCAUGAUAGCAUUGAAUUCUGACACUUGCGUAGUUAACUACAUUAACAUUGAAAAUGCAGUUCCUAGCAUAGAAAAUAAAUGAUGAUCCUUUACUUCAGUAUUAGUGCCAGGCCAUUGCACAAAACAGACAAGUGGUAAAAGCUAGUGGAUCAUGUAAUUAUAGUUAAAAUACAGUAGGGAAAAAAUGAACUUAUUUACAUGUCCUUUUUUAGAUGAAUAGCUCAGCAAUGUACUCUGUGUAGACAGUAAUAGUGAUGAGUGCAGGAAGUUCUAAGUUCUGUGUAGUGUUAAAACAACUUAUUCAAGUAACAAUAGAGGUGAAAACUCAGAAGUUGAUUACACAAUCAUCUAAAUUCAGUUAUAAUUGUCUUAAAUACCAGUACAUCUUAAUUUCCAAUUGCACAUGAAUUCUAUAUUAUGUUAGCAGAAAAUAACACUAGAGUUGUACCUAUUAUUUCUUUCUAAAGUAUUUGACAUUGUAAUGAAGCUGUGCAUGCAUUUUUGAACAAAGUGUGUAUAUAUUUUUUUCUAAUUAGAAAAAAAUACCAAGCAGUCAAUGUUCAUGCUUCAAAUUUUAGAAAGCUCAGACAAAAGACAAAAGCCCAGUGACCAAAAUCUAUCAAGGACAAAAGCUAUGGUGUUAGAAAGCAAUUACACAAUUAUUUUACUUUGAUUCAGAAUUUACUAUCACUUGGGAAAUCUUUUAGAAGCAAAGUAAAUUCUUUCAGCCACUAUUAUAGCUGAAAAAUUAGAGUAAAAAGAUUUUCACUGAUUCCUUGCAAACCGGACCAUCUCCCUACUGUGUUCCUGUAAAUAACACUAGGUUUUCAGAAUAAUGCUGUCAAGACUCUGAGGGGCACUCCAGUAAUGUAUCUGAUUUAUUAUUUUGUGCUAUUAUCCAGAUUAUCAGGUCAGGAGAGAAGGGGAAAGUGGGGUGGGGGGACCAGAGAAGGAGUCAUUUGUUAAAUGCAUAUUUAUGCCACUACAGGAAAGGGUAAAUAAACUGGGAUUGGUAUGCUGGCGCAUAAUGCAGAGAAGAAGUAAACAAGGAAGUUUAAGUUACUAGUAAUGGUGAGUAAACUAUACAGUGUAUGCACAUUUAGAAGUCAAACCUAACAGAAAUAUCAGAAAAGAUGGGAGCCAUCUUUAAGAAACCCUCAUCUAAUGACUUCACUUUGCAGUCAUAUGGUCCUUACAAAAUAAUUACAAUAUUUUCAUCAGUUUCAUCAUUUUAGCAGCUGGAACUAAGUUGCAUUCAACAUUCUGAAUGUGGGUUUUUUCCACAACCUGGUGUACUUUAUAUUUAAGGACUUUUAAUUUAAACCAGAGAACACAGGAAAAGUUGAUGUAUAAACUUCUGUAUAUUAUGUAUAUGAUGUGGAACAGACUUUUUGUGUUGCAUUCUUAUGUUUGAUGUUUAUUCAGUGAAGUUUAUUUUGCUGAAGCAUGAGAUCUCUCUUUGACUCUUUUAAAAUCUUCUAGAGCACAAAUUGACAAAAUGUGUUCCUCUCUAGUUUUGCAGUAGCCAUAAUGACCUAUGUGAUCAAAUGGAAGUACGUGAAAGUCAGGUUAUACAAUGGAAUAAAGUUGAGGCUAAUAAUUAAUGUAAUCUGACUAUUUUUUUGAACAGUCUGGAUGAAUUACCCAACUAUUGAAGCACUGAAAGUAGCAGUAACAUUUCGUUGUCAGUCUUUCAUUUCCAAUUUUACUCUAUGAAGUAGGUUUCCAUUAUUGAUGUUAAAUAUAUUAAACCAUCACAUUAACAGCCAGCUUAAUUAUAUACUUAGAAAGAACCUUAGAAAAUAAUUAAUAUUUUCUCUUUCUGUAUGGCAAGCUAAAUUUUAUAAAUCUGUAUUUUUCAGAAAAUCAACUUUAUUUGAUGGAUGGUUCAGUAAAAAGAGAAUAUUAACAAAUAAACUCACUAAUAAAACGAUUGAACUUUGAUAGGAAACCUAUUUAAGAUUUAGUAUUGUGCCUCUUAAUACUAAUAUUCUGGUACUCUGACAUUUAGAUGCAGCAGUGAAUAGACUUUUCAAAAAUACCUGUGAAAGAGGCCAAAUCUUGAUUUUAGUAAUAUUGACAUGUCAUGAUAAUCUUAUGGCCAAAGAAAUAUGCAUGUGUCAGAAUUUUACAGAACCUUUUUAUAAAACUUACUGGAUAUGGAAAAGAGAAAUAUCUCUUGACAUCUUAUAUAUCACUUCAUACCCAUUUCCUAAAAGAUUCUUUCUUCUGUUUUAGAAAAUUAUCUUGAAUGCACAGUAUUUCAUUACUUCAUCUGUUCCUAGACAGAUGAAAUAAAAAUAUCUUAGUAGUUCUGUGCUCAUUAUCACUUGAUAGCAGACUGACAUUUGAUGAACAGCACAAGCGCUCAUUCUUUGCUCGUUUUUUGCAAGCUCUGAUGCUUCCAUUUAACACCAUUUUAUUUCAGUGAAGCCCUCUAGCAAUCAUUCGGCAGUCUGGACUUCAGGUAUCUACUUCAAAAUGUGGUUAAUGUGCUGUAAAAACUGUAGAGAGGUGAUUUGUUAAGCUAUUUCUGAUCAUUCUUGAAAGAGUUGCCAUUAAAAAAAAUAUCUGUCAGGAUGUUGCUGUCAUUGUAUAUACUGUGUAUGACAUUAACAGUCUCUGAACAGCAUAUAUGAAACCAUAUAGAUAUCCAUGCAUAUGUAUUUUAUCACAUAGAAGAAAGCAGAAUAUUCUUAAAUUAGUCAUCCUUUUGUAAUCAUUCUUUGUUGAAGGUAUUUAAUGAAAAUGGCCUACUAGAUAAGGAAGUUCAAUGGUGUACGGCCAGACCAGGAUCUCCUGUAUUCACCACACAGGACAAGCAGACUAAGAAUAUAUGUUCUUAAACAUUACUAUUUAUUAUUUGUAUGCACACACUGUUGUGCUUUUUGUGUGAUUUAUAGAAUUACAGUUUUCAGCUAACUUCAUUUUGUAGAUAAGAGAAACCUUAAAAUAAUGGUAAACAGAAUGUCACUGUGGUAGCAUUAUUUGUGUCAAUCACAUCUUCAUGGAAGCCUAGAAAGAAGAUUCAGGAGGGUAAAUAACAUUAUGUAUCAAUUCUAAUAAUUUCUAAUUUUUAUCCUUUCCCUUAAAUUUGCAUUGUAAUUUACAUUCAUUUUCAACUCAGUAAACAGAGUUUCCUUUCCCUUUUGAAUGGAUAUCACUAAAAGGCAAUAAAGAAUAUGCAAAUCCACUGU